rnacentral:rRNA from 1 species
CCUACGGGAGGCAGCAGUGAGGAAUAUUGGUCAAUGGACGCAAGUCUGAACCAGCCACGUCGCGUGAAGGAAGACGGCCCUACGGGUUGUAAACUUCUUUUAUACGGGAAUAAAGUGCCCCACGUGUGGGGUUUUGCAAGUACCGUAUGAAUAAGGAUCGGGCUAACUCCGUGCCAGCAGCCGCGGUAAU